AUGAUAAUAGGGCCCCGGUGGCCGAAUGGUUGGUGCGGCCACCUGGUAGCACCUUGGUGUGGGGACUCAAGGUGCGUGGGUUCGAAACCCACAGGGGAACACCAAAUCCGGAGCCACUUUUCAGCUCCUUAAAUAAGGGAAUGUGAACUUGCCAAGUAGGUACCUUCGGGCGGACCUACUACCUGAUUUAGCUGAUUUUUCCUGGGCUGGGAACCAAUCCUGUCUCUCAUUUGAUUUUCCUAUGUUCUUACUAGUUAUAUCUUGGCGCGUUUUCAACACCAGCAUUCCUCCUGUAUAACCAACUCUUGCCUGUAUUUAACAUUACACCAGGACUCGUCAUAAGCACUGCUUGCAUACAAGUAUAACGGAAGAAUAAUAAUAAUAAUAAUAAUAACCAUAUGAUAAUAGGGGGUGGCGUACGGUUCGGAAAAACAAUUAUCCAAACUACAUGUUAAUCGGUAGUACGCCCGUUACAGAAAUCAAGUGGA
rnacentral:sRNA from 1 species